CAACCCUCGAGCCCCUCCGGGGGGUCGGCGUUGGGGAUCGGCCCUCCCUUCGCGGGGCGGCCGGCCCCGAAAUACAGUGGCGGCCUCGCCGCAGCCUCCCCUGCGCAGUAUCUUGCACACUCGCACCGGGAGCGCGGCGCGCCCAAUGCCGUAAAACACCCAACUCUCUGAAA
rnacentral:misc_RNA from 1 species